UACGUAGGGUGCGAGCGUUGUCCGGAAUUAUUGGGCGUAAAGGGCUCGUAGGCGGUCUGUCGCGUCGAAAGUGAAAACCCAGGGCUUAACCCUGGGCCUGCUUCCGAUACGGGCAGACUAGAGGUAUGCAGGGGAGAACGGAAUUCCUGGUGUAGCGGUGAAAUGCGCAGAUAUCAGGAGGAACCCCGGUGGCGAAGGCGGUUCUCUGGGCAUUACCUGACGCUGAGGAGCGAAAGUGUGGGGAGCGAACAGG
rnacentral:rRNA from 1 species